rnacentral:rRNA from 1 species
AUUGAACGCUGGCGGCAGGCCUAACACAUGCAAGUCGAACGAGUGGCGGACGGGUGAGUAAUGUCUGGGAAACUGCCUGAUGGAGGGGGAUAACUACUGGAAACGGUAGCUAAUACCGCAUACCAUCAGAUGUGCCCAGAUGGGAUUAGCGAGUUGGUGGGGUAAAGGGCCACCAAGGCGACGAUCCCUAGCUGGUCUGAGAGGAUGACCAGCAACACUGGAACUGAGACACGGUCCAGACUCCUACGGGAGGCAGCAGGGGGGAAUAUUGCACAAGGGGCGCAAGCCUGAGGCAGCCAUGCCGCGUGUAUGAAGAAGGCCUUCGGGUUGUAAAGUACUUUCAGCGGUGAGGCGUUACCCGCAGAAGAAGCACCGGCUAACUACGUGCCAGCCGCCGCGGUAAUUC